rnacentral:lncRNA from 1 species
UCCCCGCCAGGAAAAAGUAAGCCGAGCCUCCGGGAACCCCAAGGCUCCGGAGUCUCCGGGGUACCCCACUGGGUCGGCAAUGUGUUGUGCGGCUUGGAUGGUUUCUCAACAGAUCGCCCCUUUCCUAUCCCGCCCGCCACCUCAGAUUCCCCACUGAGUAGCACUCAGCCCGGGCCCGCUGGAAAGCACAGCGGGGUGCACCGGGAAGCCGGGCAGGAGAGCUUACUCGCGGUCGACCCAAACAAAGUGGAAAUGGGGCUUAUAAAAAGAUGGAGAAGUCCUGCUCCCUUCCCCUGGCUAUCCCCCUCGCCCUCCCUACUUGUCCAAUUCCAGCGUCUGGUCCCUCCCCCUUGCACCCCCCAAAUAAAACACAUUAAGGAAAACUCAAGACGGAAA